rnacentral:rRNA from 1 species
UAAGGAAUAUUGGUCAAUGGAGGCAACUCUGAACCAGCCAUGCCGCGUGCAGGAAGACAGCCCUCUGGGUCGUAAACUGCUUUUAUUCGGGAAUAAACCUAUUUACGUGUAGAUAGCUGAAUGUACCGAAGGAAUAAGGAUCGGCUAACUCCGUGCCAGCAGCCGCGGUAAUACGGAGGAUCCAAGCGUUAUCCGGAUUUAUUGGGUUUAAAGGGUGCGUAGGCGGCUUAUUAAGUCAGGGGUGAAAGACGGUGGCUCAACCAUCGCAGUGCCCUUGAUACUGAUGAGCUUGAAUACACUAGAGGUAGGCGGAAUGUGACAAGUAGCGGUGAAAUGCAUAGAUAUGUCACAGAACACCGAUUGCGAAGGCAGCUUACUAUGGUGUGAUUGACGCUGAGGCACGAAAGCGUGGGGAUCAAA